UGGGCUGUGGCUCGGUGGUAGAGCGCUCACCUAGCAUGUGUGGGGCACUGAGUUUGAUUCUCAGCACUGCAU
rnacentral:tRNA from 1 species